UUAAGCGACUAAGCGUACACGGUGGAUGCCCUGGCAGUCAGAGGCGAUGAAGGACGUGCUAAUCUGCGAUAAGCGCCGGUAAGGUGAUAUGAACCGUUAUAACCGGCGAUUUCCGAAUGGGGAAACCCAGUGUGACUCGUCACACUAUCAUUAACUGAAUCCAUAGGUUAAUGAGGCGAACCGGGGGAACUGAAACAUCUAAGUACCCCGAGGAAAAGAAAUCAACCGAGAUUCCCCCAGUAGCGGCGAGCGAACGGGGAGGAGCCCAGAGCCUGAAUCAGCAUGUGUGUUAGUGGAAGCGUCUGGAAAGGCGCGCGAUACAGGGUGACAGCCCCGUACACAAAAGCGCAUGUGCUGUGAGCUCGAUGAGUAGGGCGGGACACGUGGUAUCCUGUCUGAAUAUGGGGGGACCAUCCUCCAAGGCUAAAUACUCCUGACUGACCGAUAGUGAACCAGUACCGUGAGGGAAAGGCGAAAAGAACCCCGGCGAGGGGAGUGAAAAAGAACCUGAAACCGUGUACGUACAAGCAGUGGGAGCACCCUUUGGGGUGUGACUGCGUACCUUUUGUAUAAUGGGUCAGCGACUUAUAUUCUGUAGCAAGGUUAACCGUAUAGGGGAGCCGCAGGGAAACCGAGUCUUAACCGGGCGUUAAGUUGCAGGGUAUAGACCCGAAACCCGGUGAUCUAGCCAUGGGCAGGUUGAAGGUUGGGUAACACUAACUGGAGGACCGAACCGACUAAUGUUGAAAAAUUAGCGGAUGACCUGUGGCUGGGGGUGAAAGGCCAAUCAAACCGGGAGAUAGCUGGUUCUCCCCGAAAGCUAUUUAGGUAGCGCCUCGUGAAUUCAUCUCCGGGGGUAGAGCACUGUUUCGGCUAGGGGGCCAUCCCGGCUUACCAACCCGAUGCAAACUGCGAAUACCGGAGAAUGUUAUCACGGGAGACACACGGCGGGUGCUAACGUCCGUCGUGAAGAGGGAAACAACCCAGACCGCCAGCUAAGGUCCCAAAGUCAUGGUUAAGUGGGAAACGAUGUGGGAAGGCCCAGACAGCCAGGAUGUUGGCUUAGAAGCAGCCAUCAUUUAAAGAAAGCGUAAUAGCUCACUGGUCGAGUCGGCCUGCGCGGAAGAUGUAACGGGGCUAAACCAUGCACCGAAGCUGCGGCAGCGACACUCAGGUGUUGUUGGGUAGGGGAGCGUUCUGUAAGCCUGCGAAGGUGGCCUGUGAGGGUUGCUGGAGGUAUCAGAAGUGCGAAUGCUGACAUAAGUAACGAUAAAGCGGGUGAAAAGCCCGCUCGCCGGAAGACCAAGGGUUCCUGUCCAACGUUAAUCGGGGCAGGGUGAGUCGACCCCUAAGGCGAGGCCGAAAGGCGUAGUCGAUGGGAAACGGGUUAAUAUUCCCGUACUUGGUGUUACUGCGAAGGGGGGACGGAGAAGGCUAUGUUGGCCGGGCGACGGUUGUCCCGGUUUAAGCGUGUAGGCUGGUUUUCCAGGCAAAUCCGGAAAAUCAAGGCUGAGGCGUGACGACGAGGCACUACGGUGCUGAAGCAACAAAUGCCCUGCUUCCAGGAAAAGCCUCUAAGCAUCAGGUAACACGAAAUCGUACCCCAAACCGACACAGGUGGUCAGGUAGAGAAUACCAAGGCGCUUGAGAGAACUCGGGUGAAGGAACUAGGCAAAAUGGUGCCGUAACUUCGGGAGAAGGCACGCUGACAUGUAGGUGAAGUGAUUUACUCAUGGAGCUGAAGUCAGUCGAAGAUACCAGCUGGCUGCAACUGUUUAUUAAAAACACAGCACUGUGCAAACACGAAAGUGGACGUAUACGGUGUGACGCCUGCCCGGUGCCGGAAGGUUAAUUGAUGGGGUCAGCGCAAGCGAAGCUCCUGAUCGAAGCCCCGGUAAACGGCGGCCGUAACUAUAACGGUCCUAAGGUAGCGAAAUUCCUUGUCGGGUAAGUUCCGACCUGCACGAAUGGCGUAAUGAUGGCCAGGCUGUCUCCACCCGAGACUCAGUGAAAUUGAACUCGCUGUGAAGAUGCAGUGUACCCGCGGCAAGACGGAAAGACCCCGUGAACCUUUACUAUAGCUUGACACUGAACAUUGAGCCUUGAUGUGUAGGAUAGGUGGGAGGCUUUGAAGUGUGGACGCCAGUCUGCAUGGAGCCGACCUUGAAAUACCACCCUUUAAUGUUUGAUGUUCUAACGUGGACCCGUGAUCCGGGUUGCGGACAGUGUCUGGUGGGUAGUUUGACUGGGGCGGUCUCCUCCUAAAGAGUAACGGAGGAGCACGAAGGUUGGCUAAUCCUGGUCGGACAUCAGGAGGUUAGUGCAAUGGCAUAAGCCAGCUUGACUGCGAGCGUGACGGCGCGAGCAGGUGCGAAAGCAGGUCAUAGUGAUCCGGUGGUUCUGAAUGGAAGGGCCAUCGCUCAACGGAUAAAAGGUACUCCGGGGAUAACAGGCUGAUACCGCCCAAGAGUUCAUAUCGACGGCGGUGUUUGGCACCUCGAUGUCGGCUCAUCACAUCCUGGGGCUGAAGUAGGUCCCAAGGGUAUGGCUGUUCGCCAUUUAAAGUGGUACGCGAGCUGGGUUUAGAACGUCGUGAGACAGUUCGGUCCCUAUCUGCCGUGGGCGCUGGAGAACUGAGGGGGGCUGCUCCUAGUACGAGAGGACCGGAGUGGACGCAUCACUGGUGUUCGGGUUGUCAUGCCAAUGGCACUGCCCGGUAGCUAAAUGCGGAAGAGAUAAGUGCUGAAAGCAUCUAAGCACGAAACUUGCCCCGAGAUGAGUUCUCCCUGAGACUUAGAGUCUCCUGAAGGAACGUUGAAGACGACGACGUUGAUAGGCCGGGUGUGUAAGCGCAGCGAUGCGUUGAGCUAACCGGUACUAAUGAACCGUGAGGCUUAACCUU
rnacentral:rRNA from 1 species